ACGAUAAGGAUAAUGGAGGAGGAUGCGGUGGUGGGAGAUGGUGGGGGAGGAGAUGGUUGUUGGAAUGUUGUGGCGACGCUUAGAGAGUUGCAGACACAAGCUUUCGUGAUUUCUAUUCCAGCUGUGAGUAGUUAACAUUCACAAUGAAUAGGAGCAGUAAAGCUUGGGUUACCAACAUGUGCCAGAAGUUAGAAGAUAUACGCACGGAUAUUGAUAAACUUGUAUGCAAGGAAUGCUUCUUGAUGCUUUUAUGUAAUAGUUUUAGUUUCUUUUUGCAGUUGGUCUUCAAGAUUAUCAUGUAAGUUUCAUGUUUUUUUUUUCUUCAGGAACCCAUUUCAUUUGUGGGAAAACAAAUGGAAACUGUGGGGAACCAAAUGGAAACUGUCAGUGCGAACGUGAAGAACUUUUUCUCUGGUAUUGUGGAUGAGUUUGGUCUUACUCGGGUGAUGGAUCCUGUACAUGAAGCACAAGUAGUGCCUUCAAAAGGUAUUAAUUUGGCUGAAACUUCUACAAAUUCAGUUGCAGAAGUCAAAGACACUACUGUUGAUAGUAACACAAAGAACCCGAAAAAAGCUCCUUCGACUCAUGAAGAAUUAUGUCAUAAACCAUCAUCUACUGGUUUGCCCCCAUUCAGAGCAAAUCAUCUCUGAAAUCAGUCAACAUCUUAUUGGUGAAACGGACAGUCUACCAAUAAACGAGACUUUGGAUAACACCACUCAAGUUAAUCUAAACUCUUCUUCUACCAAUAGUCAAAAUCUUGAUAACAGAUUUGAAGAGGAAGUAGUUUAUGAUGAAAGUUCACAUAGUGAUGCUCUAGCAUUUGAGUAUUCAGAUUGGGGUCUAGAAAAUAUUAUCGAUCUGAAUUUAGAAACCGACAAUAUUAUUGAAGGGGAUCAAUUGAUGAAUUUGGAAGAAAAGAAAACACUUCUGAACAGCCCCGUUGAUGAACUUGAAUGCGAUUUAAAAUUCUUUAACCCCUCAUGAAUCAUCUGAACUGGACAAGGAGAGGUGCAAAAUGAUGCUAAGUAUGAUCAGAUCUAUUAUUAUGUUGGAUAUUCUCUCAUCUUGGAAAAAGUGCCUUUGCUUACUCAAGAUAUCGAACUGAUAAAUCAAGAUCUGCUCGUACAUGGAAAUAUUAAGCAUUUCUUGAAGUAUUGGCAUGAAAAGUUGUAGCAAAAGCAAAUUCUUCAACCUCCUAUUAUUUCAUCUAUAAGUAAUUUUUUUUAUUUGUUUGAAAAUAGUUAAAUUACACAUUUUUUAUUUGUAUAUUUUGUAUACACCUGGAAAUCGUGACUUAUUCUUUAAUAAAUGGGUUGAUUUGGGUAAUUGUUUUUAGCUAAAUGGCUUGAUUAUGGUGACUCAAAUUAAAUAAUGGGUCAAAAUAGGUCACUCCAAUGUACCUAGCUAAGGUCCAAAUGGGCUAGCACCACCCCCCGUCACCACCUACAGGUCAUCACUUCGGUCAACAAAGUCACCACCUAUUUUUUUCGGAACCCAUAUUGACCUAAUUCCAAUUGACACGUUACUUUAAAAAAGACCUGUUUGACCCGUUAGCUAAGCCAACCCAUCCUCUUUGCUAUUUUAUAAAAUUGGCAAACUUUCUGACUGGAAAGUUCAGGGAUGGUAAGCUUGGGGUUUGUAGCAGGCAGUGAUUAUCAGCUAUCAGCAAAUGUGCUUGCAGGAGCUGUCUUCUUUAACCACAUUCAAGAUAGCUGAGUUUUUGUCCAGGAUAAUUCUUACUUGCCAUGAAGGUUAGUUAUUUCAUCAUCUAUCUAUAUCAACAUUUUAGCAUGAGUUACACUCAAGGUCGUCUGUAUGGAUAUUUAAAUGAAGCUACUGCUUAGGGCCACGAUUUUGUUAGGGCCUCUAAUCUUAAAAAAAAAAUCAUUUUGUAUAUUAUAUAUUGGGUUUAUAACAUAAUGGACAAAAUAACUAAAAGUGUCCACCAUUGAGUUUAAUUAGGGUCAAAAGUCACUUAGUUUAUCCGGAAAUAAUAAGUAUGUCUCUUUUUUAUUGCAAAGUUUAUUGGCAAUGCAUGAUUACUUUAUUUUAUGUUUUCUGCAACUACACUUUCAUGACACUUCAAUUAGGUGAUAUUAGGAUUAAUGUUUUUUUUAGUUUUCAUCACAGUUGUUUUUGUAUUUUUCGUAUUCAUCAUUUCAAUUCAUUGUAAUUUAA